CAUUUAAAAAAAAAUUUAUCAAAAUUGGUGAAUUUUUGUGUAGCCAUUUUAAUAUUGAACAUGGAAGAAACCAUGCAACAUUUUCGGCAUACUAUGCUUCAUUAUUUCAAGAAAUGUAAAAACACAACUGAAAUGCAAAAGAAGACUUGUGCAGCAUAUGGACAAGAUGCUGUGACUGAUCAAACAUGUCAAAAGUGGUCUGCAAAGUUAUGUGCUAGAGAUUUUUUGCUGGACAAUUCUCCAUGGUGGGGUAGACCAGUUGAAGUUGGCAGUCAUAUCGAGACAUUGAGAACAAUCAAUGUUAUACCUCAUGGGAGAUAGCCAACACACUCAAAA